UACGGAGGGGGCUAGCGUUGUUCGGAAUUACUGGGCGUAAAGCGCACGUAGGCGGCUUUGUAAGUUAGAGGUGAAAGCCCGGGGCUCAACUCCGGAAUUGCCUUUAAGACUGCAUCGCUCGAAUUGUGGAGAGGUAAGUGGAAUUCCGAGUGUAGAGGUGAAAUUCGUAGAUAUUCGGAAGAGCACCAGUGGCGAGGACGACUUACUGGACACAUAUUGACGCUGAGGUGCGAAAGCGUGGGGAGCAAACAGG
rnacentral:rRNA from 1 species